rnacentral:rRNA from 1 species
CAUGCGAUACUUGGUGUGAAUUGCAGAAUCUCGUGAACCAUUGAGUCUUUGAACGCAAGUUGUGCCCGAGGCCUUGCGGUCGAGGGCACGCCUGCUUGGGCGUCAUUGCAUCGUCGCCUUUGCUCCUCUCUUUGUUGGUGUCAAGUGCGAAAAUUGGCCUCGUGUGCCCUCGGGCACAGUCGGUUGAAGAGUGGGUAGUCGGCAGUCGUCGGGCGCGAUGGGUGUUGGUCGCCCUGUGCGUGAAUUGAACGUUGUCCCCGUCGUGUUGGGAUGAGUCCUCAAGUGAUUGCGGCGUCGCGUGAAAGUGCCGUGUUCGUCAUAUUGUGGCCCCAAGUCAGGCGAGGCCCACCCGCCGAGUUUAAGCAUAUAAAUAAGCGGAGGAGGAGAAACUUACGAGGAUUCCCCUAGUAACGGCGAGUGAACCGGGAUC